GCGCCGGUGGUGAAGUGGUCAAACACGGUUGGCUGCAACCCAACUAAUCGGCGGUUCAAAUCCGUCUCGGCGCU
rnacentral:tRNA from 1 species